ensembl:snRNA U6 U6 spliceosomal RNA
GUGCUUACUUUGGCAGCACAUAUAGUAAAAUUGGAAUGAUACGGAGAUUACCACGGCCCUUGUGAAAGUAUUACAUGCAAAUUCAUGAAGUGUUCCAUAUAUAU